CGAACGGGUGAGUAACGCGUGAGGGACCUGCCUCAAAGAGGGGGACAACAGUUGGAAACGACUGCUAAUACCGCAUAAGCCCACGGGUCGGCAUCGACCAGAGGAAAAAGGAGCAAUCCGCUUUGAGAUGGCCUCGCGUCCGAUUAGCUAGUUGGUGAGGUAAUGGCCCACCAAGGCAACGAUCGGUAGCCGGACUGAGAGGUUGAACGGCCACAUUGGGACUGAGACACGGCCCAG
rnacentral:rRNA from 1 species